rnacentral:rRNA from 1 species
UACGUAGGGUGCGAGCGUUGUCCGGAAUUAUUGGGCGUAAAGAGCUCGUAGGCGGUCUGUCGCGUCGGUCGUGAAAACUUGGGGCUUAACCCUGAGCUUGCGGUCGAUACGGGCAUGACUGGAGUUCGGCAGGGGAGACUGGAAUUCCUGGUGUAGCGGUGAAAUGCGCAGAUAUCAGGAGGAACACCGGUGGCGAAGGCGGGUCUCUGGGCCGAUACUGACGCUGAGGAGCGAAAGCGUGGGGAGCGAACAUG